rnacentral:lncRNA from 1 species
UGCACGUGCACAAACAAACAAAAAAUGCUACUGCAAUUAUAUACAGUCAUAUUUGUUUGUAUUCCUCUAUAAUUUUUUUUAUAGUUUAACAUCCCAUAAUUCUUAAUUCCUUAUAUUUAAGCAGCCGUAUAUUUCUCUAUUCGAUAUAUUUUACCAGUCCCUAUUUCACUAUUCUUUAUAUUUAUUUUGGUCAUAUUUCUUUAUUCUUUAUUUUUCUCGCCCAUAUCAUUCUUUAUUUAUUUUUUCGUCCAUUAUUC